rnacentral:rRNA from 1 species
UACGUAGGGGGCAAGCGUUGUCCGGAUUUAUUGGGCGUAAAGAGCGUGUAGGCGGUCAGGUAGGUCCGUUGUGAAAACUCGAGGCUCAACCUCGAGACGCCGAUGGAAACCAUCUGACUAGAGUCCGGAAGAGGAGAGUGGAAUUCCGAGUGUAGAGGUGAAAUUCGUAGAUAUUCGGAAGAACACCAGUGGCGAAGGCGGCUCACUGGCCCGGUAGUGUACGCUGAGGUGCGAAAGCGUGGGGGAGCAAACAGG